rnacentral:rRNA from 1 species
ACGAACGCUGGCGGCAGGCUUCACACCUGCAAGUCGAGCGCCCCGCAAGGGGAGCGGCAGACGGGUGAGUAACGCGUGGGAACGUACCUUUUGGUUCGGAACAACUCCGGGAAACUGGAGCUAAUACCGGAUAAGCCCUAACGGGGAAAGAUUUAUCGCCGAAAGAUCGGCCCGCGUCUGAUUAGCUAGUUGGUGAGGUAACGGCUCACCAAGGCGACGAUCAGUAGCUGGUCUGAGAGGAUGAUCAGCCACACUGGGACUGAGACACGGCCCAGACUCCUACGGGAGGCAGCAGUGGGGAAUAUUGGACAAUGGGCGCAAGCCUGAUCCAGCCAUGCCGCGUGAGUGAUGAAGGCCUUAGGGUUGUAAAGCUCUUUUGUCCGGGAAGAUAAUGACUGUACCGGAAGAAUAAGCCCCGGCUAACUUCGUG